rnacentral:rRNA from 1 species
CCGCCAGAGAACUACAAGUGAAAAACUUAAAACUCAAAGGACUUGGCGGUGUCCCACAUUCGACCUAGAGGAGCCUGUCCUAUAAUCGAUACUCCCCGCUCUACCUCACCAGCACUAGCACCAACUUCAGCCUAUAUACCGCCGUCGACAGCUUACCCCCUGAGGGUUUAACAGUAAGCACAAUAGUCCUACCACUAACACGUCAGGUCAAGGUGUAGCUAAUGUGCUGGCAGAGAUUGGCUACAUUUUUUAUUUUAAAAAACACGAAAUGCUAUAUGAAAAACAGCAUGAAGGCGAAUUUAGUAGUAAAAC